UACGGAGGGUGCAAGCGUUAUCCGGAUUCACUGGGUUUAAAGGGUGCGUAGGCGGAUUUGUAAGUCCGUGGUGAAAUCUCUAAGCUUAACUUGGAGAUUGCCGUGGAUACUAUAAGUCUUGAAUAUUGUGGAGGUUAGCGGAAUAUGUCAUGUAGCGGUGAAAUGCAUAGAUAUGACAUAGAACACCAAUUGCGAAGGCAGCUGGCUACACAACUAUUGACGCUGAGGCACGAAAGCGUGGGGAUCAAACAGG
rnacentral:rRNA from 1 species